GAGGGCAUAGUUCAGUGGUAGAGUGCAUGCUUAGCAUGCGUGAGGUCCUGGGUUCAAUCCCUAGUACCUCCA
rnacentral:tRNA from 1 species